UUAAGUUAAUAAGGGCGCACGGUGGAUGCCUUGGCACUAGAAGCCGAUGAAGGACGUGACUAACGACGAAAUGCUUUGGGGAGCUGUAAGUGAGCAAUGAUCCAGAGAUGUCCGAAUGGGGGAACCCGGCAGGUAAUGCCUGUCACUCAUUACUGUUAAGGUAAUGUAGAGGAAGACGCAGUGAACUGAAACAUCUAAGUAGCUGCAGGAAGAGAAAGCAAAAGCGAUUGCCUUAGUAGCGGCGAGCGAAACGGCAAGAGGGCAAACCGAAGAGUUUACUCUUCGGGGUUGUAGGACUGCAACGUGGACUUAAAGAUUAUAGAAGAACUACCUGGGAAGGUAGGCCAAAGAGAGUAAUAGCCUCGUAUUCGAAAUAGUCUUUAUACCUAGCAGUAUCCUGAGUACGGCGAGACACGAGAAAUCUCGUCGGAAUCUGGGAGGACCAUCUCCCAACCCUAAAUACUCUCUAGUGACCGAUAGUGAACCAGUACCGUGAGGGAAAGGUGAAAAGCACCCCGGGAGGGGAGUGAAAUAGAACCUGAAACCGUGUGCCUACAACAAGUUCGAGCCCGUUAAUGGGUGAGAGCGUGCCUUUUGUAGAAUGAACCGGCGAGUUACGAUAUGAUGCGAGGUUAAGUUGAAGAGACGGAGCCGUAGGGAAACCGAGUCUUAAUAGGGCGCAUUAGUAUCAUGUCGUAGACCCGAAACCAUGUGACCUACCCAUGAGCAGGUUGAAGGUGAGGUAAAACUCACUGGAGGACCGAACCAGGGCACGUUGAAAAGUGCUUGGAUGACUUGUGGGUAGCGGAGAAAUUCCAAACGAACUUGGAGAUAGCUGGUUCUCUCCGAAAUAGCUUUAGGGCUAGCGUCGAUGUUAAGUCUCUUGGAGGUAGAGCACUGUUUGGGUGAGGGGUCCAUCCCGGAUUACCAAUCUCAGAUAAACUCCGAAUGCCAACGAGAUAUAAUCGGCAGUCAGACUGCGAGUGCUAAGAUCCGUAGUCGAAAGGGAAACAGCCCAGACCACCAGCUAAGGUCCCAAAAUAUAUGUUAAGUGGAAAAGGAUGUGGGGUUGCACAGACAACUAGGAUGUUAGCUUAGAAGCAGCUAUUCAUUCAAAGAGUGCGUAAUAGCUCACUAGUCGAGUGACCCUGCGCCGAAAAUGUACCGGGGCUAAAACAUAUUACCGAAGCUGUGGAUACCUUUAUAGGUAUGGUAGGAGAGCGUUCUAUGUGCGAAGAAGGUGUACCGUGAGGAGUGCUGGAGCGCAUAGAAGUGAGAAUGCCGGUAUGAGUAGCGAAAGACAGGUGAGAAUCCUGUCCACCGUAAGACUAAGGUUUCCAGGGGAAGGCUCGUCCGCCCUGGGUUAGUCGGGACCUAAGGAGAGACCGAAAGGUGUAUCCGAUGGACAACAGGUUGAUAUUCCUGUACUAGAGUAUAUAGUGAUGGAGGGACGCAGUAGGCUAACUAAACCAGACGAUUGGAAGUGUCUGGCCAAGCAGUGAGGUGUGAUAUGAGUCAAAUGCUUAUAUCUAUAACAUUGAGCUGUGAUGGGGAGCGAAGUUUAGUAGCGAAGUUAGUGAUGUCACACUGCCGAGAAAAGCUUCUAGCGUUAAUUAUACUCUACCCGUACCGCAAACCGACACAGGUAGUCGAGGCGAGUAGCCUCAGGUGAGCGAGAGAACUCUCGUUAAGGAACUCGGCAAAAUGGCCCCGUAACUUCGGGAGAAGGGGCGCUGACUUAUGGUCAGCCGCAGUGAAUAGGCCCAAGCAACUGUUUAUCAAAAACACAGCUCUCUGCUAAAUCGUAAGAUGAUGUAUAGGGGGUGACGCCUGCCCGGUGCUGGAAGGUUAAGAGGAGUGCUUAGCAAUAGCGAAGGUAUGAAUUGAAGCCCCAGUAAACGGCGGCCGUAACUAUAACGGUCCUAAGGUAGCGAAAUUCCUUGUCGGGUAAGUUCC
rnacentral:rRNA from 1 species